rnacentral:rRNA from 1 species
AGAGUUUGAUCAUGGCUCAGAACGAACGCUGGCGGCGCGUCUUAAGCAUGCAAGUCGAGCGGCAAGUCGGGGUAACCCGGCCUAGAGCGGCGGACUGGUGAGUAACACGUGGGUGACCUACCCUUAGGUUGGGGAUAGCCAUUAGAAAUAGUGGGUAAUACCGAAUGUGGUUUCCGGGCUUUGGCCUGGAAAAGAAAGGAGCUACGGCUCCGCCUGAGGAUGGGCCCGCGUCCCAUUAGCUAGUUGGGGGUGUAACGGACCACCAAGGCGAUGAUGGGUAGCCGGCCUGAGAGGGUGAACGGCCACACUGGGACUGAGAUACGGCCCAGACUCCUACGGGAGGCAGCAGCUAAGAAUAUUCCGCAAUGGACGAAAGUCUGACGGAGCGACGCCGCGUGGAUGAGGAAGGCCGAAAGGUUGUAAAGUCCUUUUGUCGACGAAGAAUAAGUGGGGGAGGGAAUGCCCUCAUGAUGACGUUAGUCGGCGAAUAAGCCCCGGCUAAUUACGUGCCAGCAGCCGCGGUAACACGUAAGGGGCAAGCGUUGUUCGGAAUUAUUGGGCGUAAAGGGUACGUAGGCGGUUUUGUAAGCCUGGCGUGAAAUACUGGAGCUUAACUCCAGAACUGCGUCGGGAACUGUGAGACUUGAGUCAUGGAAGGGGAGUUGGAAUUCCAGGUGUAGGGGUGAAAUCUGUAGAUAUCUGGAAGAACACCGGUGGCGAAGGCGAACUCCUGGCCAAUGACUGACGCUGAGGUACGAAAGUGCGGGGAGCAAACAGGAUUAGAUACCCUAGUAGUCC